rnacentral:misc_RNA from 1 species
UGGCUCUCGCAUCGAUGAAGAACGCAGCGAAAUGCGAUACGUAAUGUGAAUUGCAGGUUUCGUGAAUCAUCGAAUCUUUGAACGCAUAUUGCGCUCUCUGGUAUUCCGGAGAGCAUGCCUGUUUGAGCGUCAUUAAAAAAAAAUCAAAACCAUUUGCUUUUUUGGGGCAGUUGGUUUUUGGAAAUGGACAGUUGCAGACUCUUUGUUUGAGCUGCGUUGUCUGAAAAGAAUGGGGUGGAAAGAUGCAAAACCCUUGGCGUAGUAAGAAAAUACGGUCGCCGAGCUUAGAGUGUGGAGCAUUGGAGAGCCCGAAAAAGAAUAGAUGAAUUUUGACCUCAAAUCAGGUAGGGAUACGCGCUGA